GCGACAUUGAUGUAAUGGCAGCAUUCACCCCUGUGGAGGGUGCCGAGAGGGUUCAAAUCCCUCAUGUCGCCCA
rnacentral:tRNA from 1 species